UACGAAGGGGGCUAGCGUUGUUCGGAAUUACUGGGCGUAAAGCGCACGUAGGCGGACUGACAAGUCAGGGGUGAAAUCCCGGGGCUCAACCUCGGAACUGCCUUUGAUACUGUCAGUCUAGAGUCCGGAAGAGGUGGGUGGAAUUCCUAGUGUAGAGGUGAAAUUCGCAGAUAUUAGGAAGAACACCGGUGGCGAAGGCGGCCCACUGGUCCGGAACUGACGCUGAGGUGCGAAAGCGUGGGGAGCAAACAGG
rnacentral:rRNA from 1 species